CGGGACACGUGGUAUCCUGUCUGAAUAUGGGGGGACCAUCCUCCAAGGCUAAAUACUCCUGACUGACCGAUAGUGAACCAGUACCGUGAGGGAAAGGCGAAAAGAACCCCGGCGAGGGGAGUGAAAAAGAACCUGAAACCGUGUACGUACAAGCAGUGGGAGCACGCUUAGGCGUGUGACUGCGUACCUUUUGUAUAAUGGGUCAGCGACUUAUAUUCUGUAGCAAGGUUAACCGAAUAGGGGAGCCGAAGGGAAACCGAGUCUUAACUGGGCGUUAAGUUGCAGGGUAUAGACCCGAAACCCGGUGAUCUAGCCAUGGGCAGGUUGAAGGUUGGGUAACACUAACUGGAGGACCGAACCGACUAAUGUUGAAAAAUUAGCGGAUGACUUGUGGCUGGGGGUGAAAGGCCAAUCAAACCGGGAGAUAGCUGGUUCUCCCCGAAAGCUAUUUAGGUAGCGCCUCGUGAAUUCAUCUCCGGGGGUAGAGCACUGUUUCGGCAAGGGGGUCAUCCCGACUUACCAACCCGAUGCAAACUGCGAAUACCGGAGAAUGUUAUCACGGGAGACACACGGCGGGUGCUAACGUCCGUCGUGAAGAGGGAAACAACCCAGACCGCCAGCUAAGGUCCCAAAGUCAUGGUUAAGUGGGAAACGAUGUGGGAAGGCCCAGACAGCCAGGAUGUUGGCUUAGAAGCAGCCAUCAUUUAAAGAAAGCGUAAUAGCUCACUGGUCGAGUCGGCCUGCGCGGAAGAUGUAACGGGGCUAAACCAUGCACCGAAGCUGCGGCAGCGACGCUUAUGCGUUGUUGGGUAGGGGAGCGUUCUGUAAGCCUGUGAAGGUGUGCUGUGAGGCAUGCUGGAGGUAUCAGAAGUGCGAAUGCUGACAUAAGUAACGAUAAAGCGGGUGAAAAGCCCGCUCGCCGGAAGACCAAGGGUUCCUGUCCAACGUUAAUCGGGGCAGGGUGAGUCGACCCCUAAGGCGAGGCCGAAAGGCGUAGUCGAUGGGAAACAGGUUAAUAUUCCUGUACUUGGUGUUACUGCGAAGGGGGGACGGAGAAGGCUAUGUUGGCCGGGCGACGGUUGUCCCGGUUUAAGCGUGUAGGCUGGUUUUCCAGGCAAAUCCGGAAAAUCAAGGCUGAGGCGUGAUGACGAGGCACUACGGUGCUGAAGCAACAAAUGCCCUGCUUCCAGGAAAAGCCUCUAAGCAUCAGGUAACAUCAAAUCGUACCCCAAACCGACACAGGUGGUCAGGUAGAGAAUACCAAGGCGCUUGAGAGAACUCGGGUGAAGGAACUAGGCAAAAUGGUGCCGUAACUUCGGGAGAAGGCACGCUGAUAUGUAGGUGAAGUCCCUCGCGGAUGGAGCUGAAAUCAGUCGAAGAUACCAGCUGGCUGCAACUGUUUAUUAAAAACACAGCACUGUGCAAACACGAAAGUGGACGUAUACGGUGUGACGCCUGCCCGGUGCCGGAAGGUUAAUUGAUGGGGUCAGCGCAAGCGAAGCUCUUGAUCGAAGCCCCGGUAAACGGCGGCCGUAACUAUAACGGUCCUAAGGUAGCGAAAUUCCUUGUCGGGUAAGUUCCGACCUGCACGAAUGGCGUAAUGAUGGCCAGGCUGUCUCCACCCGAGACUCAGUGAAAUUGAACUCGCUGUGAAGAUGCAGUGUACCCGCGGCAAGACGGAAAGACCCCGUGAACCUUUACUAUAGCUUGACACUGAACAUUGAGCCUUGAUGUGUAGGAUAGGUGGGAGGCUUAGAAGUGUGGACGCCAGUCUGCAUGGAGCCGACCUUGAAAUACCACCCUUUAAUGUUUGAUGUUCUAACGUUGACCCGUAAUCCGGGUUGCGGACAGUGUCUGGUGGGUAGUUUGACUGGGGCGGUCUCCUCCUAAAGAGUAACGGAGGAGCACGAAGGUUGGCUAAUCCUGGUCGGACAUCAGGAGGUUAGUGCAAUGGCAUAAGCCAGCUUGACUGCGAGCGUGACGGCGCGAGCAGGUGCGAAAGCAGGUCAUAGUGAUCCGGUGGUUCUGAAUGGAAGGGCCAUCGCUCAACGGAUAAAAGGUACUCCGGGGAUAACAGGCUGAUACCGCCCAAGAGUUCAUAUCGACGGCGGUGUUUGGCACCUCGAUGUCGGCUCAUCACAUCCUGGGGCUGAAGUAGGUCCCAAGGGUAUGGCUGUUCGCCAUUUAAAGUGGUACGCGAGCUGGGUUUAGAACGUCGUGAGACAGUUCGGUCCCUAUCUGCCGUGGGCGCUGGAGAACUGAGGGGGGCUGCUCCUAGUACGAGAGGACCGGAGUGGACGCAUCACUGGUGUUCGGGUUGUCAUGCCAAUGGCACUGCCCGGUAGCUAAAUGCGGAAGAGAUAAGUGCUGAAAGCAUCUAAGCACGAAACUUGCCCCGAGAUGAGUUCUCCCUGACCCUUUAAGGGUCCUGAAGGAACGUUGAAGACGACGACGUUGAUAGGCCGGGUGUGUAAGCGCAGCGAUGCGUUGAGCUAACCGGUACUAAUGAACCGUGAGGCUUAACCUUACAACGCCGAAGGUGUUU
rnacentral:rRNA from 1 species